rnacentral:rRNA from 1 species
CCUACGGGAGGCAGCAGUGAGGAAUAUUGGUCAAUGGACGAGAGUCUGAACCAGCCAAGUAGCGUGAAGGAUGACUGCCCUAUGGGUUGUAAACUUCUUUUAUAUGGGAAUAAAAUGUUCCACGUGUGGGAUUUUGUAUGUACCAUAUGAAUAAGGACCGGCUCACUCCGUGCCAGCAGCCGCGGUAAUACGGAGGAUCCGAGCGUUAUCCGGAUUUAUUGGGUUUAAAGGGAGCGUAGGUGGAUUGUUAAGUCAGUUGUGAAAGUUUGCGGCUCAACCGUACAAUUGCAGUUGAAACUGGGAGUCUUGAGUACAGUAGAGGUGGGCGGAAUUCGUGGUGUAGCGGUGAAAUGCUUAGAUAUCACGAAGAACUCCGAUUGCGAAGGCAGCUCACUGGACUGCAACUGACGCUGAGGCUCGAAAGUGUGGGUAUCAAACAGGAUUAGAUACCCCGGUAGUC